rnacentral:lncRNA from 1 species
UUUGUGUCAAUGUUCACAAGAACAUUUCAAAAGCUACCAAGACAAGGACUACGUACGUGAAGAUGAUAUCUUAGCAAAAACAGUAUGUAAUUGUAGACACAAAUAAUACAACAUUUAGCCCUACCAACAAUUUUUGGUCCUUUCUCUUGUUAUUUUGAACUUCAUUAAUCAUUUCGACCUUUUAUUGCUUUGAUUAGUAGAGUAAAAGGAGAGGUUCUAGGAUCAUCAAUGUCAUAUAUAUGUAAGCGAGAUCGAUCAAGAUACAUCAACCUAACUGAAAGUUAGGGUUGGGCGACAAGCCUUAACAUAAUGCUAGGGUUAGUCACUUAGUCAUCUGCAUGCGUCCGUAUGACUAAAAAAAGUGAGAUUCAAAUACAUCCAGAGCUAAGAAAACCACUGGGCGCGCAGCUCCUAGUUGAUCACCUAAACUUGUGUUGGCCGGAAAUAGCUAUAGCUGGCCAAGAUUAAAGUACACAAGCUGGUCAUUUUAGCUCACAAGCUGGUCAAAUGAAGCAAACACAUUUUCAAUGGCCGGGUGAGAAGAUCGAUCAUGUACCAUUGUCUCUAUAUAUAUUGCGAAGUCCCUAUCCACUUUAUUCCAAACUCUUCUGGGACAUGGCCGGCUUCCUAUUGUUGCUCUAUCUGACUCGAGGUUUGGAGGCAUACAUAAUCCCCAAAAACUACUCAAUGUUGUUAACUUCUGUAAUUCAUAUGCUUGCCCGUUUGAAGGGAGCAAAGGGAUUCUCUUCUGUCUAGUCAACCAUCCCUUGUAAAUUACUUCAUUU